rnacentral:rRNA from 1 species
UACAGAGGUCUCAAGCGUUGUUCGGAUUCAUUGGGCGUAAAGGGUGCGUAGGUGGCGUGGUAAGUCGGGUGUGAAAUUUCGGAGCUUAACUCCGAAACUGCAUUCGAUACUGCCGUGCUUGAGGACUGGAGAGGAGACUGGAAUUCCUGGUGUAGCGGUGAAAUGCGCAGAUAUCAGGAGGAACACCGGUGGCGAAGGCGGGUCUCUGGGCCGAUACUGACGCUCAGGGACGAAAGCUAGGGUAGCAAACGGG